rnacentral:lncRNA from 1 species
AAUUUAUAAUUUUUUUUGCUAAUGACUUCUUGUUAUUUAUUUUAUAUUUAUUUAGACUAUGGAAAUGAUGUUAGACAAAAAGCAAAUUUGAGCAAUUUUGUUAUUCGGGUUCAAAAUGGGUCGUAAAGCAGCAGAGACAACUCUCAAAACAUCAGCAACACAUUUGGCGCGGGAACUGCUAAUGAACGUACAGUGGAGUGGUGGUUCAAGAAGUUUUGCGAAGGAAACGAGAGGCUUGAAGACGAAGAGUGUAGUGGCCAGCCAUUGGAAGUAGACAACGACAAAUUGAGAGCAAUCAUUGAAGCUGAUCCUCUUACAACUACAGGAGAAGUUGCCAAGGAACUCACCAUCAAUCAUUCUAUAGUAGUUUGGCAUUUGAAGCAGAUCGGAAAGGUGAAAAAGCUUGAUAAGUGAAUGCCUCAUGAACAGAGCAAAAAUUUUAAAACAUUGUUGUUUUGAAGUGACGUCUUCUCUUAUUUUACACAACAAUGAACCAUUUCUGGAUCGAAUUAUGACAUGUGAUGAAAAGUGGAUUUUAUAUGACAAGCUGCAAAAACCAGCUCAGUGGUUGGAUGGAGAAGAAGCUUCAAAGCACUUCCCAAAGCUGAACUUGCACCAACAAAAGCUCAUGGUCACAAUUUGGUGGUCUGCCGCCAGCCUGAUCUACUACAGCUUUCGGAAUCCCAGCGAAACCAUUAUGUCUGAGAAAUAUGCUCAGCAAAUCGAUGAGAUGUGCCAAAAACUUCAAGGCCUGCAGCCGGCAUUGGUCAACCAAAAGGAUCCAAUUCUUCUCUACCACAACGCCUGACCACAUGUCACAUAACCAACCCUUCAAAAGUUGAAUAAAUUGGUCUACAAAAUUGCCUUAUCUGCCAUAUUCACCUGACCUCUCACCAACCAACUACCACUUCUUCAGGUAUUUCGACAAUUUUUUGCAGGGAAAUUGUUUCUACAACCAGCAGGAUGCAGAAAAUGCUUUCCAAGAGUUCACUGAAUCCCAAAACAUGGAUUUUUAUGCCAUGGGAGUAAGCAAACUUAUUUCUUGUUGGCAAAAAUGUGUUGAUUGUAAUGGUGUCUAUUUUGAUUAAUAUAGAUGUGUUUGAGCCUAGCUAUAACAAUUUAAAAUUCACAAUCCAAAACCACAAUUAUUUUUGUAUCAACCUAAUACUAUAGAUUUAACAAUAUUAAAUUACAAAGCCUUUUAAUUCAAAAUAACAGGCAUAUGUCUUUUGGGUGAACAGUAAAACAGUAUAUAUAUAUAUAUAUAUAUAUAUAUAUAUAUAUAUAUAUAUAUAUACACACACACACACACAUAUAUAAAACAUAUAUACUGACCAUACGUAUACACACGUGUGAGUGUGUGUUUGUGUAAACUCCAUGCUUGAUGGACGGAUGGAAUAGAUCUGUGAGCAACAAAACCACAGUUACUCAGGAAUUCUUGACUUAAAAGUCAGCAGCAUCAGUGCUAGAUGAAUGCCAUAUAUACAUGAAUAGAAUCCAAAAACCUAUCAGCCUAACUCCAAAUUUUAAUAACUUCCUCAGUGUCCUCCCAGCACUUAGUAAUAGGGCCAGUAUUGUUUAAAUACUAUCAUUUUUUCAUCGAUUAUUUAAGUUUCUUGUCUGUUCACAGAUACAGUAUUUGAAGAUUCCAAAUUCCUCAAUAAAAUUAAAUUGUUUAUUUUCAUUAGCAAAGCAAAGUUCUGACAAAAUAUUUGAUGCCUUAUUUGAGGUGUUAGGAAAACGACUGGAAUUAGAUCAAUGGUGUUUUUUAUAAAGCAAAACCUGCUAUAAAUAUAGAUUAGAUUUGCAACCAGAUUUCAUUAACUUAUCAAAGGAGCAGUGGGUCAGCAAUUUCGAGACAUUUUCCUUCAGAACUCUUGUCACAUUCCAGAAUUUCUCAGAAUGAUUUUGGUAUUUAUAUGGGAAUUUCGAAAGAAACUUCAAAAGAAAGUAUGUGACUAAUUCUACAUGCCUGCAUUUUGUUACCUAAAUUCUGGAGAGGGACAUGUAAUGUCAGAUGACGACAUCUCUACCCUCCUUGCCACCUAGGUACAAAACCUCAGUCAUCCCUAUACAUUCUUCUCUUUCUUACUUUUCAACCACUUGACAUCUAAGUAUAUAUGUAUGGUUGUUAUCCCUAAAAUAAUAGCCAAAGUUGUCCUGCAUUGAAUUUGUAAACCAAUCUGAGAAUAACUGAAAUCUUUAUAAAGUCUUCCAAUCCAUGAAGAUGAUUUAUUCCUCCAUAUAUUUGAGUUCUUUUAAAUAUCAUUCAUAAAGUUUGUUGUUUUACAGGUUUAUUCCAUGGUACUUGGUAUUUUAUUUUGCACAUUUUUGUGAUGCUGCUAUAUUUUGCCUGCAACUAACCAAUGGAAAUUACUUAAAAUCCUUCACCAAACCUUUCACUUAGGCAUUGAUAGCACCCAUCAGAUGGACAAAUUAUUAUUUGUUGGACCAGGCCUUUUCAAAACUAUCAAGCAGAUAGUCAGGUCCUGUGAAGUGUGCCAAAGAAAUAAUCCCCUGUAUGCAGGCCAUACAUUUCAAUCUCUGUAUCUUUAACCUCCUUGUUAAGUUUGUCUCUUCCAGAAUCAAAGCUAUAAAACUACAAAUGGUUCUCCAAAUGGAGCCCCAGAUGCAGUCCAUGACUAAGAUCUACUGCGGACCUCUGGACCGGCCUGCUAGCCCAGCUCCCACAUUAAUGACAUCAAAGGCACCCCUCCCGAGGAAAUCUCAACUGCAUGACACCUACUACGCCCCAAUUCAGCAGGAAGCAGUUAGAGUGGUCGUUGGCCAACCUCCCCAACAGCACUUGGGUUUUCUGUUGAGAUGGGGGACUGAGAGACAGGACUAGCUGGAUUUCCUAGGCCAACUAAGAAUCCCUAAGCCUAGCUGGGAAGGUGACUACACCCACCUUUAACCACUAGGCUUGCAACUUAGCUCACACCCGACCAAUCAGGUAGUAAAGAGAGCUUGCUAAAAUGCUAAUUAGGCAAAAACAGGAGGUAAAGAAAUAGCCAGUCAUCUAUCGCCUGACAGCACAAGGGGCGGGACAAUGAUCAGGAUAUAAACUCAGGCAUUCAAGCCAGCAAUGGCUACCCACUUUGGGUCCCCUCCCAUUUUAUGGGAGCUCUGUUUUCACUCUAUUAAAUCUUUCAACUACCAAAAAAAAAAAAAAAGAAAAGAAAAACAAUUAACUUUUUUAUAUAUCAGUUAAAUUCAUCCAUGAUGUUUUUUAUGUUUUCUGUAUUCUUACUGGUCAUUUUUCUAUUUGUUCUAUCAAGUAUCCAGGAAUAUGUGUUAAAGAUGUCCACUUCAAUUGUGAAUUUCUUGAGUUGUUCUUUCAGUUUUGUUCUUUUUUUACCUUAUGCAUUUUGAAGUUGUAUUAUUUCCUGCAUACAAAUGUAGAAUUGUGGUGUCAUUCUUUUGGAGUAAACCAUGAUCAUUACUGGCAUGACUUACUUACUUACUAUCUAUCUAGACAUGUUGAUUGCUUCAAUUUCUACUUUAAUCUUAAUAAAAAUACACCAACUUUUUA